CAGCCGCCGCGGGAAUACGAAGGGGGCUAGCGUUACUCGGAAUUACUGGGCGCAAAGGGCGCGUAGGCGGCACGAUUAGUCAGGCGUGAAAUUCCUGGGCUCAACCUGGGGACUGCGCUUGAUACGGUCGAGCUAGAGGAUGGAAGAGGGUUGUGGAAUUCCCAGUGUAGAGGUGAAAUUCGUAGAUAUUGGGAAGAACACCGGUGACGAAGGCGGCAACCUGGCUCAUUACUGACGCUGAGGCGCGAAAGCGUGGGGAGCAAACAGGAUUAGAUACCCCGGUAGUCCCUGUCUCUUAUAU
rnacentral:rRNA from 1 species